rnacentral:sRNA from 1 species
GCCAGGUGUGGGUGGUGCACACCUAUAAUUCUAGUAACUCAGGAGGCUGAGGCAGGAGGAUCACUUGAGCCCAGGAGUUUGAAACCAGCCUAGGCAACUUAAGUGGGACCCUGUCUCUU